rnacentral:rRNA from 1 species
GUAGGUGGCAAGCGUUGUCCGGAAUUAUUGGGCGUAAAGCGCGCGCAGGCGGUCCUUUAAGUCUGAUGUGAAAGCCCACGGCUCAACCGUGGAGGGUCAUUGGAAACUGGGGGACUUGAGUACAGAAGGGGAAAGCGGAAUUCCAAGUGUAGCGGUGAAAUGCGUAGAGAUUUGGAGGAACACCAGUGGCGAAGGCGGCUUUCUGGUCUGUAACUGACGCUGAGGCGCGAAAGCGUGGGGAGCAAACAGGAUUAGAUACCCUGGUAGUCCACGCUGUAAACGAUGAGUGCUAAGUGUUAGGGGGUUUCCCGCCCCUUAGUGCUGCAGCUAACGCAUUAAGCACUCCGCCUGGGGAUACGGCCGCAAGGCUG